ACCUGUAGCAGAAUAAUUUUAUUUCUGUUUAUUUUAAAAUAAGGAGGAGAAAGCUAUCUGAUUUCAGGCUUUCUUGGGAAUCUUAUCCUAGUAAUUUGGACAAAUGGCUGGUAUCUAGAUAGCAACAAAUCUAUUUCUGAUAAUUAACCGACAGUGAAAAAUACUAAGGUCCCACCAUUUGUCAUUUGAAGUGAACUAUGUGCCCUGCUGGAGGGAGUGUCAUUACGCAGCUGCCGAGCUAGCAAACAAAACUAGAACAUCUCCAGAGAAGUUUCUAACCUUGGCUCCAAUUCCUUAGAUGAACUUCUGUGACUCUCACUGCGGAAAACUCCAGAGGACUUUUGUCUGUCCUCUGCCCAGAUCUGACACGGGUAGGAGCACGAUGCAGCUCUCCCCAGGUGAUCAGCUGUCCCCAGAAGACAAUAUGGCACCAGACGGUCUUUCUCGAAUGCUUGGAGAGGCAAAGCGAUGGCCAAGGGUUUCCACUGAAGCUGCCAUCAGGACAGGAGUGAAUGCAGGGUCCUUCUUUGUGAUUUUGACCUUCACCGACCUUGAUUAUUCAAUGUGACCUUUCCCUGGACCUACGUCAUCCCUUUCAAGAACGUUAUUCCCAUUUACCAUUCUCUGGGUACACAGUUCAGCAUAAUUUUAUUUUUAGACCUAUGUCUAGAGACUAACUUUAAGAUAAUGUUCAUAAAAAGUUAUAAAUUCCUACUGAAAUGUAUAUGGUCAUAAAUUUUCCUUCCCUUCUGUUUCACAGCUGUUGCCUCCAAAAUGCUGUUUUCAAUUUAUUCGCAGUCCCACCUUCUUCUUUCUUUCGCCCAAACCCUUUCAGUUUGAAUCCACAGGACACUGACAGUUAAGUCACCCUUUGUCAAGUGGAUGAAUGUGCACACUUGCAUUUUUCUGGAGCCACCAAGCAUAUCAAAUCCUGUGUGAAGAGAAUUCCCAGUCUUUCUUUCCGGCUGCCCCAGCUGACAACAGGGGGUCUUCACUGAGAGACCCUCUCUCUGGGCAGCUUCAGUGAGAGCCACAUUUCCAGUUCCAGGGCUGUGAGGUGCUGUCAGAAAGCCGCAGAGAGCAGGUCGGCGUGGGUGGUAACACAUCCCAGAGGGUCAGGCACAGCAAGACCUCCCUCUUUGUCUCCACAGACUCCAACUUAAAGACCACAGCCACACAGCGGACUAAAUUAGAGAGUAGGCACUUGAGAUUCCCUAAAGAAAGACACUGCAGAACUACAGGGUAUCCACCAUAUUUAUGGCAUCCAAAAUGCCUUGUGAUCUAUAGAAAUCUGUCUUCUCCGCUUCUUCCCUUCAUCUUCCCUUCCAUGGCUGUAAAACUUCAUUUCCCACAAUUGGGACUGAAUGAAAGAGGCCGGCAAAAGAGAGAGGGCUCAGGAGAAACCGACACCGCCAGCACCUUGACCUCAGACUUCCAGCCUCCAGUACUGUGAGAAAGUAAACUUCUGCUGUUUAAACCCCCCAGUCUGUGGUCCUUUGUUAUGGCAUCCCGAGCAAACAGAUACAACCUGCCUCCAGGCGAGCCACUGGGGACGACAUUCAAAGAGAUCUUGUUCUUGUUCACAACAGAAUCAUUCCUUCGUGGACUUGCCUGGUCUGCUACUUGGAGCAACCUCAAGGCUGCAACUCAACAAGCAUCGUUAAAUACACAGGUAGAUAAUUAGCAAGUUUGUUGCCAGCUGCUACCUGGAGUUUGGACACAGAAAAGAUUUGAAGGCAGCCGAGAUUGCCUUCAGCACCAACUUUAGAGUCCUGGCUUGAAAGCUGGAACCUUUGCGUCCUCCUAGAGCUGGGGAUAUUCGAGUGUAAAGAGAUCUCAGAGGGGAUCUUGUCCAACGGCAUCAUUUCACAGGUGACAUGAGUGAGCCCUGAUGCCAGGCAGCAGGUUAGUUGCGGAGCUGGGGCUACAACUCAGUUCCCCCGCCCGGCUCCCAGCAAAGCAUUUCCCGGAGCAAUCUGCAAUGUGGAUGGUAACACCUGAAACUUUUUAAUGACCUAUAAUUCUUAAACGCAAAUGCACUUUGUUUACACUGACACGGCUCAGAUAAGUGGAGGAACACCAGGGUUCUUGGUCCUUGCACCGGUUUAGAUAAAACGACACAGACACACGUGG
rnacentral:lncRNA from 10 species